UUGAUGUAAUGUACCCCAUUUUAUUUCCCCUUUCCUCUUCUGCCAGUACAAUCCAUUUUCCACUUCUGGUUCCUUUUAUAUGUCAUCACAAUAAAGUCAACUUGGAUUUAAAAGGAGUGCUGGAAUCAGGUGAGAACUCCCCUCUCAAAUCCCUGCUAGAGCCUGCACAAACUUGAGGGAAUCCAGGCCUGAGAAACUCCUGGUUGAAGAGGCAACUUCAACCAGACCAGCUCUAGCCCCUUUCUGCAAGGGCAAAGAAUGGGGACAAGAGAAAAGCAGGAGUAUAAAGGACCAAAGUGUGGCCUCCAACAGGCUAGCCCUUCCUGGAGUAGGGGCCACAAUAGAGGAGGUAUCCAGUGAUCUAUUGUCAGAGACAUUGCCCUCGUUAACAUCCCAACCUGAAGAAUUGUCCUGGGGCUGACAGUUGAGGUGGUUCUCCAUAGUCCAUGGAAGAUCGGGGAGGAAAAUGCCAAUUCUUGAUUUGGGAUAAUAUGCGAUAUAUUGGAGACCAUGUGCUCUUGAGGGAAGUUAUUGUCCAUAUAGAUGAGAGGCCCCGGGGGCCAUGGAAUCUCCGGCUGUGGACCUUGAGGAAUACUCCAAUGAGGCACUUGGGUUGGUAUACAAGUGGAUAUGGUGGGGAUCACUGGUGGGGGCUCCAGGGUCCAAUGAGGCACUUGGGUGGGUAUGCACAUGAAUGUGGAGGGAUCAAUGGUGGGGGCUCCAGGGUACCGUUCUCCAUCAUCUGGACAUUCUGCCCUUCAGCAAUUGAGGCUCCAUUCCAAGGAAUGGACUCAUAAUGGCCUGGAGCAUCCCAAGGAAGAGUCCAGACAGGUCUGGGAUUCCAACUGUAUACCCCUAUCAAAAUGACAAGAAUGAAAAUAUUACAAAUCCCUUCCCUAGAGGUUUUCUACCCAUGUCCCCCAUUCCUUGUUUUGUUACCAACUGGGCUUG